rnacentral:rRNA from 1 species
UACGUAGGAGGCGAGCGUUGUCCGAAUUCACUGGGCGUAAAGGGCGAGUAGGCGGCUUGUUAAGUCCUGUGUGAAAUCUCCCGGCUCAACUGGGAGGGGUCAUGGGAUACUGGCAGGCUUGAGGGCAGCAGAGGAAGGUGGAAUUCCCGGAGUAGUGGUGAAAUGCUUAGAGACCGGGAGGAACACCAGUGGCGAAAGCGGCCUUCUGGGCUGACCCUGACGCUGAGGCGCGAAAGCAUGGGGAGCAAACCGGAUUAGAAACCCG